AGUGAACGCUGGCGGUAGGCCUAACACAUGCAAGUCGAACGGCAGCACAGUAAGAGCUUGCUCUUACGGGUGGCGAGUGGCGGACGGGUGAGGAAUACAUCGGAAUCUACUUUUUCGUGGGGGAUAACGUAGGGAAACUUACGCUAAUACCGCAUACGACCUACGGGUUAAAGCAGGGGAUCUUCGGACCUUGCGCGAUUGAAUGAGCCGAUGUCGGAUUAGCUAGUUGGCGGGGUAAAGGCCCACCAAGGCGACGAUCCGUAGCUGGUCUGAGAGGAUGAUCAGCCACACUGGAACUGAGACACGGUCCAGACUCCUACGGGAGGCAGCAGUGGGGAAUAUUGGACAAUGGGCGCAAGCCUGAUCCAGCCAUACCGCGUGGGUGAAGAAGGCCUUCGGGUUGUAAAGCCCUUUUGUUGGGAAAGAAAAGCAGCAGGUGAAUACCCCGAUGUUCUGACGGUACCCAAAGAAUAAGCACCGGCUAACUUCGUG
rnacentral:rRNA from 1 species